AGAGUUUGAUCCUGGCUCAGGAUGAACGCUGGCGGCGCGCCUAACACAUGCAAGUCGAACGGCACCUAUCUUCGGAUAGAAGCGAGUGGCGAACGGCUGAGUAACACGUGGAGAACCUGCCCCUCCCCGGGAUAGCCGCCCGAAAGGACGGGUAAUACCGGAUACCCCCGGGCGCCGCAUGGCGCCCGGGCUAAAGCCCCGACGGGAGGGGAUGGCUCCGCGGCCCAUCAGGUAGACGGCGGGGUGACGGCCCACCGUGCCGACAACGGGUAGCCGGGUUGAGAGACCGACGGCCAGAUUGGGACUGAGACACGGCCCAGACUCCUACGGGAGGCA
rnacentral:rRNA from 1 species